rnacentral:rRNA from 1 species
GCUUUCGCGGUGAGAGAUGGGGUCGCGGCCCAUUAGGUAGUUGGUGGGGUAGAGGCCUACCAAGCCGAUGAUGGGUAGCCGGGUUGAGAGACCGACCGGCCACAUUGGGACUGAGAUACGGCCCAGACUCCUACGGGAGGCAGCAGUGGGGAAUUUUGCGCAAUGGGCGAAAGCCUGACGCAGCAACGCCGCGUGCGGGAUGACGGCCUUCGGGUUGUAAACCGCUUUCAGUGGGAAAGAUAAUGACGGUACCCACACAAGAAGCUCCGGCUAAAUACGUGCCAGCAGCCGCGGUAAUACGUAUGGAGCAAGCGUUAUCCGGAUUUAUUGGGCGUAAAGCGCGCGUAGGCGGCUUGUUAAGCAAGGUCUUAAAUCUUGGGGCUCAACCUCAAGCCGGAUCUUGAACUGGCAGGCUCGAGUAUGGUAGAGGAAAGUGGAAUUCCCAGUGUAGCGGUGGAAUGCGCAGAUAUUGGGAAGAACACCGAUGGCGAAGGCAGCUUUCUGGG